AACGAACGCUGGCGGCAUGCCUAACACAUGCAAGUCGAACGAAGCCUUCGGGCUUAGUGGCGCACGGGUACGUAACGCGUGGGAAUCUGCCCUUGGGUUCGGAAUAACAGUUAGAAAUGACUGCUAAUACCCGAUGAUGUCUUCGGACCAAUGAUUUAUCGCCCAAAGAUGAGCCCGCGUAGGAUUAGGUAGUUGGUGGGGUAAUGGCCCACCAAGCCGACGAUCCUUAGCUGGUCUGAGAGGAUGAUCAGCCACACUGGGACUGAGACACGGCCCAGACUCCUACGGGAGGCAGCAGUGGGGAAUAUUGGACAAUGGGCGAAAGCCUGAUCCAGCAAUGCCGCGUGAGUGAUGAAGGCCUUAGGGUUGUAAAGCUCUUUUACCAGGGAUGAUAAUGACAGUACCUGGAGAAUAAGCUCCGGCUAACUCCGUGCCAGCCGCCGCAGUAA
rnacentral:rRNA from 1 species